AGUUAGCGCUGCACUAGUCUCUCUUCCUUCUCAAGCACACUUUCACUUUGAUAUUCAAAACCCAACAAAUCCGCCAGUUACACGUUAUAUAUUUUGUACAUUCAUCACUUCCCGCUACUCUUUCUCUCUCUAAAAAAUUCUUACUAUUAAACCCUAGUUCUACUCUAAAACGUUUAAGGAUAUUCUUUGGCCACAAGAUCAUGAUACAAGUUAAGGAGGAAGCUCCGACUCUGGAAUUUGGUGGAUUCACUUCUUGUUCAUCUUUCUCUGAUAGCAGUUAUGAGGCUAGCACUCCAAGAUGCUCCUCCGAGCCUGGUUCCAGUUGCCGAAGGAGCUCAGUUCCGACUAAACGUUCUUCUCAGGCAGGCUGGACAGAAGAAGAGGAUAAUCUGUUGACUGAAGUGGUGAAAAGGUUCAAAGGGAAAAACUGGAAAAGAAUAGCUGAGUGCGUGAAUGGAAGGACCGAUGUGCAGUGCUUGCAUCGCUGGCAGAAGGUUCUGAAUCCUGAGCUUGUGAAGGGUCCUUGGACAAAGGAGGAGGAUGACCAGAUAAUUGAGUUAGUUGGGAAAUAUGGCAGUAAGAAGUGGUCUGUUAUAGCAAAGUCUUUGCCUGGUCGCAUUGGCAAGCAAUGUCGGGAAAGGUGGCACAACCAUCUUGAUCCUACAAUAAAAAAAGAAGCCUGGACUGAACAAGAAGAAUUGGUCCUAUGCCACUAUCACCAAAUGUACGGGAACAAGUGGGCUGAAAUUGCCAGGUUUCUGCCCGGAAGGACUGAUAAUGCAAUUAAAAAUCACUGGAAUUCCACGGCGAAGAAAAGAACAAACUUGAAUUUACUAAGUAGGUUGUAUAUCCAAAGUGAGGGAUCUCCGGAUUUCUCAAGUCACAAGAAAAAACUAGAUAUCAAGAAGCUUCCAAUACAGGCUCAUAAUGCAGAAACAUUUUUUUUGAGCGAGCAGACAGGAGUAGAUAAUGUUGCUGAUGCUUGCUUAACUGAUCUGAGAAUUGGAUAUGCUAGUUCUCCGCGAAAUAUUUUGCAUAAGGAUACUUCUUUAUUUGGAGCCUGUAAAUCAUCAGAAGACAAUGUGAGGGAUCUCAUAAAGCCACUUGUUGGAAUACAAUUUGGCAAGGCAGAGAUUAUCCCAAUUGCUGAGACAGAUAAACCAUGCCAAUCCAAUUUAAAUUCACAUCCUCUCUUGGCCUCUUCUUUAGAUUUUCCUUUGGAUCCAUCACACCACACCAGGUGGAAUAGUUCUCAAGUUGAGGCUGUUCCUCCGACUACUUUUGGAAGAAUGUAUGAAUCUCCCAAAAGGUCUAGGCACGCCACUGUUGAUGAUCCUGACCAUGAUUUUUUGAGUUUGUCAUUGGCUGGCUUCACCGAGGUUCAUUCCCAAGGUAACAAAAAGAAUAAAACAUAUGAUGCACAAUCUUCUUUGCCUCUCAAGCAGCCUGGUUGCUUAUAUUAUGAACCACCAAAAUUAAAGGACUUGUUGAUUCCUAUAACGGAUGAAAACCUUAGUAGAGACAACCUUAUCAGGCAACAAAAUGGCCCUCCACUUUGCUCUACACCUCCUAGUCUUAAAUUAACAGUCUCUGCUAAUGGUAGCAGUCCAGAAUCUGUGUUAAGGAAUUCCGCAAUGAGCUACACAAAAACUCCUUCAAUCAUAAGAAAGAAGACUUUGAGAUUUCCAGAAGCUUCUGGGCAUUCUAGUUGCAUGGGCACCACGACUCCCUCAUAUGUUGUCCGUGGUGCUCCUGAUGAGGAAGACACCUCAAACCUGAAGGACAGGAUUUCUGUAUGUAAAACAUCAGUUUCAGGAAAAUCUCUUGGAAGGCGGUUGGAAUAUGCCUUUGAUAUGGAAUGGGAUUCCUCUAGAUGUUGCACACCAGUUCCUGCAGCUCCGCCUUGUGGACUUACUCUUGGUGCUAUUGGUGCUAAUACAAUGUUGACACCAUAAAAAUGGAGAGACAAUUCAUUACAUGGACCAAAUUGGUUUGGCUGAAAAGACACUUAUUCUGGAAAGAGCAACGUGAUAUGUUCCUGCCUAAAUGUUCAUCUGGAUCAGCUGUAUAGGAUUAGUCUGGAGAAGCUUUUGUUGUAGAUUACAAUGGCGGAGAAUUCUCAAAGCAUGUCAAUUUUCGAGGUAACAAAUACCUGUGAAACAAUGACAUGCUGAUACACUGAGAAAGGCCAAGUUGAAGCUGAAGAACUAGUCGGAGAUGGAAGCCGUGAUUUUGAUAUAUUCACAUAAGCCUCAUGAGCCUAUUACUAAUAAGAAAAUAGCGUAAAAAGUUACAACUGCAUGAACAAGCUUUUUGGAGUAAUUCUUGUUUUUGGAGUUGCAUAAUUCUAUUCCUACUUCAGAAGUCUAGUGGAAGGAGGGGGGUUGUUUGUAAAUAUGCAUUUAGAAUCAAUUGCCUGCAGUUUUGUGGCAUUUUACAUUGUUGCAAAAAUGUGCUCCUAGUGGUUUGCCUUGUUCCAUGGCAUUGUUAAACAAAUAAUUAUAUUAUCCUGAACCGUUGGAGAGAGAAAA